rnacentral:rRNA from 1 species
ACUCCUACGGGAGGCAGCAGUGGGGAAUAUUGCACAAUGGGGAAACCCUGAUGCAGCCAUGCCGCGUGUGUGAAGAAGGCCUUCGGUUGUAAAGCACUUCAGUAGGGAGGAAGGUAGUGUAGUUAACACCUGCAUUAUUUGACGUUACCUACAGAAGAAGCACCGGCUAACUCCGUGCCAGCAGCCGCGGUAAUACGGAGGGUGCGAGCGUUAAUCGGAAUUACUGGGCGUAAAGCGCAUGCAGGCGGCCUGUUAAGUCAGAUGUGAAAGCCCGGGGGCUUAACCUCGGAAUUGCAUUUGAAACUGGCAGGCUAGAGUCUUGUAGAGGGGGUAGAAUUUCAGGUGUAGCGGUGAAAUGCGUAGAGAUCUGAAGGAAUACCAGUGGCGAAGGCGGCCCCCUGGACAAAGACUGACGCUCAGAUGCGAAAGCGUGGGGAGCAAACAGGAUUAGAUACCCUGGUAGACUGUCA